GCCUGAGUGGCUCAGCUGGUUAAGUGUCUGACUUCAGCUCAGGUCAUGAUCCCCCAGUUUGUGGGUUUGAGCCCCAUGUCGGGCU
rfam:Felis catus isolate Cinnamon breed Abyssinian chromosome F2, whole genome shotgun sequence.